UCAUACCUCUUAACCUAAAAAAACCCUACAAAACUAACCUAAACCCCUAGAUAUAAGCAAUCAGCUGUAUUUGAAAAAAAGAAAAGGAUUACACAAAAAGGUAGCCUAGACCUAACGCCUAAGAUGGGCUAAAAGCUGAAAAAUUCGCCAUUUUUUUCAUCAAGCAAAGGAGACCCUCCCCUGUUGUUCUCUUCUUCAAUAGAGAAACACCCAAAACCUUUCAUCUUCUUCUUCAAAAAGACAACACCAAAAACCUGCUAACUCAUCUCCAAACCAAUAGCCAUCAACGAACCCCCACCCAUAGACGACCACACACACAAACGAACAGAGUAGAGAGAUUAAGAGUAGCUCCAUCUUCUUCAACCUAAGCAAAAUCAACUCCCAGCAAUAGUCAUGAAAUCUGCCUGAGAUCUGCCCCAAUAACUUGUAAAAAGUAGCCACACCUUGCUUUCAGUUUGUUUAUUGCCAAGUUUCCGGUGGGCUAGAGGUCCGUUAAGUUCUGUCGAGGUUUGAGUGUUCUCCGAUGAGAUUCCGCUUCAUCGAGGAAGUGGGUUUUCGACUGAUACUACUGUUUCUUAAGUUGGAAUUUGAUUUGUUGUCCAUUAAAAUGGGAUCACUGAUACGGUAUGUUCACUCACAAAUUGUCCUUCAGUUCAUCUGUUUAGUGUAAAAAAUCCUUUUGGUAAUAAUAAUUAGUGGAAUUUAUGCAUUUACUCUGCCUCUGCCAUCAGUCAAUUAUGCUUAGUUCACUUUGCCUUCUCUGUUCCUAUUUGUGAUUUAUGCACAUUACGUCGUCUCUGCUUUCAGCCCUUUUAUGUUUGGUUCACGUCAAUGUCUCCUAGCUCUGUCAAUUCUCUAUUGUAGUUGAUUGGUUUUCUAUUGCUCUUUCUCUGACUCUCUAUGUGCAUUGUGAUUGUGUUUGUGUGACAAAGGACAGAGCAUGUGUUAAACUUCUUAAUUUGGAAAUGCCUAGCCCAUUGGUGAUUAAAAUUACUCACAUAUUUAGGAAUUGGGCUGGGUCGAAUGCGAGAAAUGAAAAGUUAAAAGAAUAUGAGCAUGAAAUCUCUUUUAGCGAAUGUGCUCCAUAGACCUUUCACGCGUAAUCUCGAAGUAGUUAGUAAAAUAAUUUAUGAACCUCGUAGCUUGUUUUAAGCUUGACAUAAUUACGAUCCUAAAAACAAAACCGGAGUAUGUGGUCACGCAACUUCGACCUAACUUUUUUUAAUAAUAAUAAAUCGUUACUAAUUAUGGACACGUAUACGUGACAUGAUUUUUUGACGUGCCAAACAAAUGGGUACACCUGCGCAUGACCUGUGUGAAGAUAAUUUCUUAAUUAAAAUGGGUAAAUGCACAUAGGUUCUAAAAUGAGUAAUUAGAUAAUUUGAUUAAGCCAAGUAUGAUCAAAGCGACCAUGCUAAAAUCACGGAACCCGAAAAUGCUUAACACCUUCUCCUAGGUUAACAUAAUUCCUUACCUGAAUUUCUGUGUUCGCGGACCAUAAAUAAGAGUCAACUUUCCUCGAUUCAGGAUUUUAAACCGGUGACUUGGGACACCAUAAAUUAUCCCAAGUGGCGACUCUGAUUUUAAUAUAAAUAAUCCUGUUUCGAUUGUCACUUAAACUGGAAAAAACUCCCUUAUAUCCCCUUUCGGGGUAGAAAAAGGAGGUGUGAUAGCUCUAGCGACUCUACUGGGGAUAUCAACCCAGAAUCUCUGGUUCAGGGUUUAAGAAUUCGAGCUUGUUAAAUAUGAUCUAUGCUUGGCUUUAUUGUUUGUUGAUAUUACUGUAUUUGUGGACCGAAUGUGCUAAUUGUUGUUUAUUUACCGCUUUCAUAUUACUUGAACUGUAUUAAACUGUCUUCUUACGCCGCCCCUAUGAGUCUUCUAAAAAUGGUGCACACGUUCGCGCGGCCCACUUUUUCUGUAGAAGUUAUACCAAAUAGAACAAGGCUGGGCCAGCAACAAGGUUGGGUAGACUUUAGUGCUCCCGGUACGUUGCCCCCUCUUCGGCUCGAGUUGUCCGCUCGGGUAAGCCAGGUCAAAAACACAACCCCAGGUUUAAACUUUGAAUAACAUAACCUCAUGCUAAAUCCCUAGUAGGAACGUUUGUUUGCAUCACGUGCAUUUGACUUUGGGGACUCAACACAGAGGUUGGGUCCGUCUAGGACAGGUGAACCCAAAAUAACAGACCAUCAUAAUGCAUCCUAUGUGCUACAUGUUGCAUUUUUCAAGGGUAAAAGAGUCAUUUGGCGGACCAAUGAUAGUUUAGGGAAAAAGAAAAAAGAAAAAAAGAGAGGGUGAAGUGUGAAAAUAAAGCAAGUAGGGCCCAAUUAUAUUUUCUGUCGCAUUUUUGUUACAAAAAAAUCAAAAAAAAGGGGGAAAAUCCAAAAAGAGUUUACAUGUUUCAUCAUUUUUCAAAAGAAAAAAGACAAAAAAACAUAUUUUCUCUAAAUUAGUUAUUUUUUUUAAUUCUCGCCCGUAUCCAACCUGCCUGAACUACGCAUACCUAAUUCUCGUCUUUCGGGGCGUGAUACGUAGGCAACCCACAUAAGGUCCGGUCUUCCUAGUGAGUCUUAGGUUCUUGGCUUCGCGGGGUCUUAGCCAAAUCUUGCAUUUUUAGCCACUUUUAGCCACAUAGGUUAGUUUUAGAAAAAUAGUCACAAUCAUGUCUUGCAUGUGUCCAACAGGAAGGGUUAUUGUCUCAUAUAGCGUUCUAGGUCUUUAACUUAUUUGGUUUUUAUUUUCUCAUACAGAUGUGGGAUUACUUAUCGGAGUUUGAGCAUGAUAGACACCUCGGAACCAUCCAGGCAGGAUCUCUCAUUUAGGAGUUGCUUAAGGAGAUUUUUCUUUUUAUGUUUUGAGUCUGUUUUUCUUUUUACGUCGUCUAUUACUUUCUAGUUUUGUACAGUAAUGUCGAGUCUUUUGUUAUUGUAUUUUUAAUUUUGUAUCAGAAAAAAAGUGUUAUAAAUCAAAAAUCCAAAAAAAAGAAGAAAUUUUGCGUUUUUAUAUUUUCGUUAGAAGUUUUCUUUAGAAUACUAAUUCUAGGGAAAAAAUCGUUUGAGGUGA
rnacentral:lncRNA from 1 species